GACGAACGCUGGCGGCGUGCUUAACACAUGCAAGUCGAACGGAAAGGCCCUGCUUUUGUGGGGUGCUCGAGUGGCGAACGGGUGAGUAACACGUGAGUAACCUGCCCUUGACUUUGGGAUAACUUCAGGAAACUGGGGCUAAUACCGGAUAGGAGCUCCUGCUGCAUGGUGGGGGUUGGAAAGUUUCGGCGGUUGGGGAUGGACUCGCGGCUUAUCAGCUUGUUGGUGGGGUAGUGGCUUACCAAGGCUUUGACGGGUAGCCGGCCUGAGAGGGUGACCGGCCACAAUGGGACUGAGGUACGGCCCAGACUCCUACGGGAGGCAACAGUGGGGAGUAUUGCACAGUAGGCGGAAGCCUGAUGCAACGGCGCCGCGUGCGGGAUGAUGGCCUUCGGGUUGUAAACCGCUUUCGCCUGAGACGAAGCGUGAGUGACGGUAAUGGGUAAAGAAGCACCGGCUAACUACGUG
rnacentral:rRNA from 1 species